CCUACGGGUGGCAGCAGUGAGGAAUAUUGGUCAAUGGACGAGAGUCUGAACCAGCCAAGUAGCGUGAAGGAUGACUGCCCUAUGGGUUGUAAACUUCUUUUAUAAAGGAAUAAAACGAGGCACGUGUGCCUUUUUGCAUGUACUUUAUGAAUAAGGAUCGGCUAACUCCGUGCCAGCAGCCGCGGUAAUACGGAGGAUCCGAGCGUUAUCCGGAUUUAUUGGGUUUAAAGGGAGCGUAGAUGGGUUGUUAAGUCAGUUGUGAAAUUUUGCGGCUCAACCGUAAAAUUGCAAUUGAUACUGGCAGUCUUGAGUACAGGUGAGGUAAGCGGAAUUCGUGGUGUAGCGGUGAAAUGCUUAGAUAUCACGAAGAACCCCGAUUGCGAAGGCAGCUUACUAAACUGUGACUGACAUUGAUGCUCGAAAGUGUGGGUAUCAAACAGGAUUAGAUACCCCUGUAGUC
rnacentral:rRNA from 1 species